rnacentral:lncRNA from 1 species
CCAGUGUGUGAGCUGGCUGUGGCGGGGCUCUCCCGACGAUGAUAAAAUGUCCUUGCAGGAAAGGACCACCUCAUAUCUCCUAGGGUCUCAGCCUCCUCUGUCUAUGCCCCCCUGAGAUAAUAAUGUUGGUAUUCGUUCAGCGCUUACUAUAUGCAGAGCACCGUUCUAAGCGCUGGAGUAGAUAGAUACAGGGUAAUCGGGUUGUCCCACGUCAGGCUCACAGUUAAUCCCCAUUUUCCAGAUGAGGGAACUGAGGCCCAGAGAAGUGAAGCGACUCGCCCACAGUCACUCAGCUGACAAGCGGCAGAGCCGGGAGUCGAACUCAUGACCUCUGACUCCGAAGCCCGGGCUCUUUCCACGGAGCCACGCUGCCUCCCCACGCUGAGAUGACACAACUCGCUCUUGGACAUGGCUCCCCGCCAUCCUAUUGGGCACCCGGUACUUGGUACUGGUUGCGAGCGGCGCUCUGGGCACGGCUCUUUCUGGCCCAGGGCUCUGUGCCAUAACCAGAACCCCGCUCAGGACAGAGGGACAGGAAGCCUCCGUCCUCAUCCGUCCGGUUGCUUUAAUGUCGAUGAAAGGAAAUGGCAGUGGAGACUCAGGCAGUGAGAGGGGCCAAGGCCUUGAGACAAAGGAAAAUACUUCCAAGAGCCUCGCCGGGUUAGAGGAUCACUCCGGUGAGGUCGGCUUGCUUACCUUUGCCCGCUUGGGGUUGGCGGGCUCCGGCGUAUUCAGAGGCUUGGGCAGGGACUGCCUGACGGGGUCUCAAGCUCUCCUCCGCUGUGCCAACAGGCGCCAACGCAAGAGGCAGGUCACCGCGGGGCCCCAGGGAAGACGGUUCACUCCCUCAUGGCAUCACACCACCCGGCACAGCACAGGCACCGACGGAGGAGCACGGGACAAGCAAGUGGCCAGCUUUUCACUGAGAGCGUGGGGGCGAGAAGGGACGACUACGUGUAAGAGAACACACCCCGUCUGGUUGCCUGGAACCGAGGCCCUGUGCCCCACUUGGAUCCAGGACUCUUCAAACCCGGCUCAGCUUCGUCCAGGUUGUUUGAGAAGAGCAGCGGUGACCUUGCUCAUCUGCUCCUCCCUGCCUUUUAUCUCUCUCCUAGUCUCUAAGCUCCACCACUGCUUGCUCAGUCUGGAGGUGCCCGGACAGGACAGCGGCACUACAACCUGUUUGGAGAACACUGUCCUCUCAACCUUUCCCCAGAAUCCAAAGCCCCAGUUAUGCUUUCUAAAUUUCUAUAUUCCAAUGAAAAUCGAAGCUCUCUUUUUCCAGGAAACAGAAGUUUAA